UGAUCUUAUAGCCAACUCCAGCAGUUAUGGCUUCUCAAAUCCGUUAAUGGCUUGCUGUGGCUAUGGAGGUCCUCCGUACAACUACCGUAAAGGAGUGACAUGCGGUCAGCAUGAUUAUCAGGUUUGCAGUGAAGGGUCUGAGUUCAUAAGUUGGGAUGGAGUUCAUUAUACCGAGGCAGCUAAUAGAGUUAUAGCUUCUAAGAUACUGUCAAUGGACUACUCCACUCCACGAAUUGGCUUCGAUUUCUUUUGCCAUUGAUUGUCAUUUGCUAGAAUAAAGUGCAAGCAUGAAUUGAUAUAUGUUGCUUCAGAGUAUUAUGAAAAAUAUUUAAUUUGGAAAAAUAGAAAAAAUGAUUGGUUAUAAGAAAGAGGCCAGG
rnacentral:misc_RNA from 1 species